GAUGAACGCUGACAGAAUGCUUAACACAUGCAAGUCAACUUGAAUUUGGGUUUUUAACUUAGAUUUGGGUGGCGGACGGGUGAGUAACGCGUAAAGAACUUGCCUCACAGUUAGGGACAACAUUUAGAAAUGAAUGCUAAUACCUGAUAUUAUGGUUAUAGGGCAUCCUAUAAUUAUGAAAGCUAUAAGCACUGUGAGAGAGCUUUGCGUCCCAUUAGCUAGUUGGAGAGGUAACAGCUCACCAAGGCGAUGAUGGGUAGCCGGCCUGAGAGGGUGAACGGCCACAAGGGGACUGAGACACGGCCCUUACUCCUACGGGAGGCAGCAGUGGGGAAUAUUGGACAAUGGACCGAGAGUCUGAUCCAGCAAUUCUGUGUGCACGAUGAAGUUUUUCGGAAUGUAAAGUGCUUUCAGUUGGGAAGAAAAAAGUGACGGUACCAACAGAAGAAGUGACGGCUAAAUACGUGCCAGCAGCCGCGGUAAUACGUAUGUCACGAGCGUUAUCCGGAUUUAUUGGGCGUAAAGCGCGUCUAGGUGGUUAUGUAAGUCUGAUGUGAAAAUGCAGGGCUCAACUCUGUAUUGCGUUGGAAACUGUGUAACUAGAGUACUGGAGAGGUAAGCGGAACUACAAGUGUAGAGGUGAAAUUCGUAGAUAUUUGUAGGAAUGCCGAUGGGGAAGCCAGCUUACUGGACAGAUACUGACGCUAAAGCGCGAAAGCGUGGGUAGCAAACAGG
rnacentral:rRNA from 1 species